GCUGAAGUGAUUCCAGUGCAGGUGCUAUUGGGCACAGCCCUGGAAAAGCACUUCCAGUUACAGGAAGUUACGUAGAAUUGGGUUACCAACUCUCUGGAGAGCCCAAACAGAGCAGCUGAUACACGAUAACAGAUUCACUAUUUGAUGGGCGUUUUGACCUGAACCUUCAGAAAACUGUGACUGGGCACAGGGUUAAAAAAAAAGUAGAAAAGUGUAGAAAAGUUAGAAAAGCAAAUGAAAGCCUUUCAUUGAAUUGCUUGGGGACGCACAUUAGAGGGAAGACAUUGACAGGGAAACACCCUAUGCUGGGCAUCAUGUCCUGGUUCUUCAGACACUGCACCACCAUUUUAGCUGGCUCAGGACUCCUUUGGAUUUUCAUCAGCUUGGGAACCCCCAACAUAAUGAAAACAUUUAUUUUCUGGUGAAAUCAGAAGCCAACUAGCUCUGCCCUGAUCUCAGUCUAGGAAUAGAGCAAUGUGGAAUUGGGCCUGAUAUGAAUAGGCCCAAUCAUCAACCAAAUCUGAGCUUACCUCCUCCCUUUAUCUCUCCUAGAAGAUAAUUGGACAGUAGCCCAUAGCCCUGAAAUAUUUAUUUUGUACUUUUCUUGAGGUGGGGGAGGAAACAACUGUGGUCUGAGCCCUGAAUACUCUGUCCAACGGUUUGGCAUCCUGGGAACAUUUCUACCUUGGUAACUCUUUGGUCACCAAUCCACACUACUUUUCCCCCUGGAAAUCUUAGAACACGAUGACAAUCAUAAUAAUUACAGCUGAUAUUGGCAAUGUUUUUAGUGGAAGGAGUGUUAGCCUCACGAUUAGGAAAACCUGGUUCAGAUCCUGCCUCUGAUACACACUGAUUAUGUGACUUUGAGCAAGUGUCCUCAUGCAACUCUCUAAAUCCUUAAGUUGUAGAGAAAGUGGUAACAUGUUGAUAGGCUGAUAGACGGAAUUGCUAUUAUCAAUGAAACCGUAGGUCCAAUUCCCUUUCCCUUAAGGUUUGCAGAGCCCCUUAUAUAUAUGAUCUCAUUUUAUUAUUGCAAUAGUCCUUUGAGGUAGAUAAUUCCACAGGAGGAAAAAAUAAUCUCCAUUUAACAGAAGAGGAAACUUGAGGAUUAGAGGGUUAGGUGACUUACCCAGAGUCUCACAGUUAGUGAGUACAGAUGUUAAAUAAGAAAAAACAGAGAUCAUGGAGGUGAAUUACUUCUGUUCUGAGAGUUUUAAGAGAGAAAAUAAAAUGGAGGGCAAAGGAAAUACA
rnacentral:lncRNA from 1 species